rnacentral:rRNA from 1 species
AUGUGUGUGUGUGUGUGUGUGUGUUUUUUCCUCUCUUUCGCUCCUAUUUUCUGGCCUUUCACCGUUUCUUCUCUGUUUAGCUCUUAUUUAUCAAUCAGGUCCAACAUUACAAUAAUGAAGUUACAUGGCACUCCAGCAAUUGAGGAUAGCACGCAGCUCCCGGUCAACAUUUCAGUGGGGACAAUACUUGAGGAUUAUAUGCCUAAUUUUUCCUUUGUAACGCAUGGUAUUUUGAUAGGACAACUUAUAUGCUCGUGCUUUCUUUCUUCUAGAACUUUGAUACCUUCCUUUUUUGCUUUAUCGAGGAUUCAGGUUUUUAACCUAACAUGCCCACAAUAA